rnacentral:rRNA from 1 species
AUGUACUCGCCGCAGUCGCUGAGCCGCGUCAACACUAUCAGAACCUCCCUCAUCAAUGCGCAGAAAGGUACCCAAUCCGCCGCCACCUACUUCGCCUACAUGCGUGGCCUCGCCGACAAGCUCGCCGCAGCGGGCAAACCGAUCCAGGAGGAUGAGUUGAUCUCGUAUAUCCUCCAUGGGCUGGAUCUGGAGUACCAGCCCCUGGUCUCGGCCCUUGACGCCAGCGUCUCGCCCGCUUCCCUCGAUGAGAUCUUCGCCAUGCUCAGCAACUUCGACCAACGCAUGGCGCAGUUCCACGGUGCGGGCGGCCACUCCUUCAAGUCUUCUGCAAACGCGGCAACCCGUGGCCGUGGUGGCGGUCGUUCCCAUGGCUCUUCCCGCGGCAGAGGGCGCUCUGGUGGCAGCAGCAACAACAGCGGGCGUUUCACCAACAAACCUCGCCGUGGCGGCGGCAGUGGCUCUGGCCGAUCUCGCCCGGACUCAGCUCGCUGCCAGAUAUGUGGUAAGCCAGGCCACACAGCAAAAGACUGCUGGUACCGCUAUGAUGAGGACGAGGACGACUCUCAAGACGAUGACAAGGUCGCUGCUGCGGCCGAUGGCUCCUACGGCAUCGACACCAACUGGUAUGUCGAUAGCGGCGCCACCAACCACAUCACCAACGAACUUGAGAAGGUGACCAUGAAGGAAAGGUACCGUGGAAAGGAUCAAAUCCACACGGCCAGUGGAGAAGGUAUGAGGAUAAAUCACAUUGGUCAUUCAAUAUUCAGUACCCCUAGUCGCAAUAUUCAUCUAAAAAAAUCUUGCAUGUUCCUAGUGCCACCAAAAGUCUUCUUUCUGUUCACCGAAUUGCCUUAG